ensembl:lncRNA
AAAAAUGAAGAACAUAAGGAUAAUAGCAAUUACGCUAGUGAAAAUACAAAUUUAUAUGAUAAUUCAAAAGAAGAAUAUAAAAAUGAGAAUACAAACAAAUUUAAAAAAAAAAAAAAAAAAAAAAAAAAAUAUUGAAUUAAAUAUAAUGAAUAAAAAUUAUUUAACUAAUAGUAUAAUAUUAAAUAACUUAAAUAUACUUAUAAUGGAUUUAAAUUAUUUGCAAAAUAUAUUAGAGCUCAAAAAAAGAAACUACAAUAUAAGCCAUUCUGAUGAUGUUUGUUUUGAUACGUGUAACAGAAGUCACAGUACUAGUAAUAGUAGAAGCAGUACACAUUUUAAUAAAAUAAAUAAUUAUCACAUAUCGGAUAAUAAUAAUGAUAAUCAUAAUAAUGGUAUUAUAAGGAACGAUGACUAUGACUAUAGACUUUACAACAGCAACAAAGAUACAGUUUAUAACAGUCAUCAUGUGAAAGGGAAAAUAAAUAAUAUAAAUAAAUGUGAUACGUUAAUGUCUAACAAAAGAGGUAUAAAAGAUAAUGUACAUGAUGAAAUAAGAAAAGGUGAAAUAGAGAGAUCGUGUAUGAUUAACAAUGCAGUUACUAAUAGUAUUGGUGAAUGUGUUGGUAGUGGUUUUGUUAAUAAUUUUGCUAAUGGUUUUGCUAAUGGUUUUGCUAAUGGUUUUGCUAAUGGUUUUGCUAGCGAUUUUGCUAGUAAUAUUGCUAGCGGUUUUGCUAAUAACUCUGCUAGCGGUUUUGCUAAUAAUUUUGCUAGCGGUUUUGCUAAUAACUCUGCUAGUGAUUUUGCUAAUAACUCUGCUAGCGGUUUUGCUAAUAACUCUGCUAGCGGUUUUGCUAAUAACUCUGCUAGCGGUUUUGCUAAUAAUUUUGCUAACGGUGUGAUUAAUAAUAAUAAAAACACUAUUAUUGAUAUUGAAUGUAAUAAUAAAAAAAGCUAUUUUAAUAGUGUAGAAUAUAAUGAUAAUAUGAAUUAUAUAGGCUAUAGAAGUAGUAGUAGAAGCAAAAGCAGAAGCAGAAGCAGAAGUAGUAAUGGUAGUAAUUAUAAAUGUAAUAAGCAUGAUUAUAACAAUUAUGACUGUGAUUAUAAAAAUAGUGAGAAUGAAUUAGAAAAAUCAACAUUUGACUGUAGAAAUCUUUGUUCUUUAUGUUAUGGCGUUAAGUAUGACGAUUUUAAUCAUAAGCAGUAUACUGGUAACAGCAUUAAUGGUAAUAGUGUUACUAAUAGAAACAACAUAUAUGGUAAUAAUAAACAAAACAAAAAUAAUAUGUAUAAACAUGAUAACUGCUCCAUUAAAUGCUAUAAUAAUAGCUACACCAAUAGCUACGAUGAUGACUGUGAUGAUGAAUGUGAUGAUUAUAAUAACAAAAAUAACGUGUUUAUAAAUGAAAGUGACUUUUUUUGUAAUUGCAAUAAUAUAUAUAAUAGUUUUUAUAACAAUGGAAUAAAUAAUAGUAAUAAUAAUAGUAAUAGUAAUAAUAGUAAUAAUAGUAAUAAUAAUAAUAGUAAAUACAAAUUUCGUAUUAAUAAUUCUGAAACAAAAAGUAAAGAAUAUUAUAUGUUGAAAAAAAGAGAUUUAGAAAGGUUGAAUACAGAAAUUAAUAAUAUAAUUUAUAUGAGUAAUAAUGCGUAUUGGCUAAAUGAAAAAUCUCAUGUUCUAUCAUCAUCAGAAAAAGAAAGGGUUAGUGAGAAAUCAAAUAAUUUUUUAAAUAAAGAUAAAAAAAAGAAUAACAAUAGUAACAAAAUAGAUAUAAAUAAAAGAAAAGGGUUAGGAAAAAAUAAGAAUAGUAAAAAUAACAAUGAUAAUAAUAAUGUAUGGAUAAAGCGUUCUAAUAGUAAUAAUAAUACAUAUGAUGAUAAGAAUAUAUCAAAUAGAGAUUUAAGAAAGUUAAAAAAAAAUAAUAAGUUAGUACAGAAUAAAGAAGUAGAUGGUAAAAAUAAACCAUUAGUUAAAACUAGAACAUAUGAAAAUUGUUAUCUUAAAACAACAAGAGUUAAAAAAUUGGAAAAAUUUACUAGUGUAGAUCAAGAAGAAUUAAAAGAAGUAUUUGGACCUACUGGAGUUUCAGGUGUUUACUUUGAAAAAAGUCGAAGCAGUUGGACUGCACAAUAUAAAGUCACAGGUGGAAAAAGAAGAGCUAAACGUUUUCUAGUUACAAAAAAUAUGAGUUACGAAGAAAUCGAAAAUGUAAAACAACAAUGCAUUGCUUACAGAAAACAGAUGGAAAGAGAGUAUAUUAAAGAGUUUUUAAACGAAGAAAAAAAAAAAGAAAAAAAUAAUACUAAUAAUGACAAUAACAACAGUAAUAAUGGUAACGAAAACAGUAACAACGCUACUGUGGGUACAGGCAAGAAGACAAGAAGAAAGAGGAGGGUUAAAAAUUACUAUGCAUGUUGAUGUGUGGUAUAUAUGAAUGCGCUCGUUUGUGCAUGUUACGUACAUAUGUAUAUGUAUGUAGUAUGGUAUAGGUAUUAAUUUUGAUAACAGGAAUUAUAAAUUCGGAUACGGGACAAAAAAAUAAAAAAAAAAAGAGAAUGAAGCA